rnacentral:lncRNA from 14 species
GUGAUGUUUUCUGUGCAGGGCUGAGGUGAGGAUAUGAAUCAACUGAUGGUGGCAUCUGAAGAGCACUGUGGUCAGCAAAAGGUGAUCUGCAUGUUCUGCAGUCUGUUGAAGACUGAAGAAUUACACACCAUCUCUCAUAAAUCUGCAGAAAGGAAGAUUUUGCAGGAAAUCUAGGAAAACCAGAGUACUUCCACGAAACUACUGGUUUAAAUGAGGCUAACUUGAUAUCUGGCACAUGAGUAAAAUUGCAAUCUAAGCAAAAAUAUAUUAGAGAUAAACAUAUCAGUCACCGAGGUUGUCACAACCACCGUUGUCUAUAGAAUAGGGAAUUUUCAAAUGUGCUUAGAUACUGAAGUGCAGAGACAGGCAGUAUAAUCUUAAAAUUUAAUCUGUUAUGGAAAAGACCAACUCCAAAGCACAGGGAUAUUCCAAGUGAUAUUGAAAAGUUGUAAUAUAAAAUAUGAUGUCUGGGUGAGAGAACUGUUAUAAGGCUGUAAUGGGAUAAAUAGCACAGGUGAUAAUAAUUUCUAUGUAUUUUAUGAGUGUUUUUUUCAAAGCAUUUAAGAUUCUAUUCAAAAACAAUAAAAAACAAACAAAUAAAAAUAGAAAAAUAAAC